AGGGGGAAAAGUACAUGCAAAUGCAUUUCAUCGCCUCAGAGCAAAAUAGACUGGGUUAUGCCAGGGUGUGUGUGUGUGUGUGUGUGAUAUUCAGUGUGUGAACGAUGUGGCUAGCAGCAGAGGACUCUAGCAGAACAGAUACAGAACAUGAUUCACCAUGAAGACACAGAACAAAGACAUGGACACAGGUUGUAUUUGUUAAAGAGUAUAAUGAACAUACUGUAGACUGCAUUAACCAAUGUAUGUCUAUGAGGGUGAUAAGAAACAGAGUUUGCCUUGCAGAGAGUACAAAUGUGCUCAACCCCUCAACAAAAAAACCCACAAAACAACCCAUAAGACAUUACAAUUUCACAGCUCCUUACGGCCUGGGUGGGUAUUUUCAUAACAAUAUAGAUUCACUUACGUGAACCGAACGUUUGUUGGUUCACAUUAGAAAAGCAAAACAAGUUAUAUACAAUACAUAAAGCAGCGCAAUAUGACAACGCCACAGUUAAACACACAGACAGACCUCAAAUAGAAAGCCUUCUAGCACAGUCUCACAGCUAGUCUCACAGUCUCACGGCUAGUGUCAGUCUCACGGCUAGUGUCAGUCUCACGGCUAGUGUCAUAGUUUCAUAGUGUCAUAGUCUCAUAGUGUCAUAGUCUCACGGCUAGUGUCACGGCUAGUGUCACAGCUAGUGUCAUAGUGUCACGACUAGUGUCAUAGUCUCAUAGUGUCAUAGUCUCACGGCUAUGUCACAGUCUCACGGCUAGUGUCAAGUCUCACGGCUAGUGUCACAUCUCACGGCUAGUGUCAUAGUCUCACGGCUAGUGUCACAGUCUCACGGCUAGUGUCACAGUCUCACGGCUAGUGUCACAGUCUCACAGCUAGUGUCAUAGUGUCACGGCUAGUGUCAUAGUGUCAUAGUCUCAUAGUGUCAUAGUCUCACGUGUCACAGCUAGUGUCAUAGUGUCACGACUAGUGUCAUAGUUUCAUAGUGUCAUAGUCUCAUAGUGUCAUAGUCUCACGGCUAGUGUCACGACUAGUGUCAAUAGUCUCACGGCUAGUGUCAUGGUCUCACGGCUAGUGUCACGACUAGUGUCAUAGUCUCACGGCUAGUGUCAAUGGUCUCACGGCUAGUGUAAAUGGUCUCACGGCUAGUGUAAAUGGUCUCACGGCUAGUGUCAAUAGUCUCACGGCUAGUGUCAUGGUCUCACGGCUAGUGUCAUGGUCUCACGGCUAGUGUCAUGGUCACACGGCCAGUGUCAUAGUCUCACGGCCAGUGUCAUAGUCUCACGGCCAGUGUCAUAGUCUCACGGCCAGUGUCAUAGUCUCACGGCCAGUGUCAUAGUCUCACGGCCAGUGUCAUAGUCUCACGGCCAGUGUCUUAGUCUCACGGCCAGUGUCAUAGUCUCACGGCCAGUGUCAUAGUCUCACGGCCAGCGUCAUAGUCUCACGGCCAGUGUCAUAGUCUCACGGCCAGUGUCAUAGUCCACAUUCCUAUCAUUUGAGCCAGACUAUUUCCCCCCUCAUGCAGAGCCUGUAGCUAGAAUCCACCCCUCUUUUUCCACCGGUGCCAAGGCACUCUUCUCGCUCCCUAGUAGGCUGGUUCUGUUCUCUGGUCGUCUUGGCAGCCUGCCCUCCCCCCAGGAUUGGUGCUCUCCACUGGGCCGGCCCUUCACUGUGAAGCCUAACAGGACUCGGUCCUGUAGGACCUUGCUAC
ensembl:lncRNA